CGAGGAUCCAUGCACACGAAUAGCUCAGAUGAGCACAAGAGCCAAGAGCUUCUGAAUUUUGGGUUGGGCCUUGUCGCUGGCCAUGCCUUCUUAUAGAUAGGAGUCUUCUCUACCGACAUUCUAUAGGAUACUUGCUGAAUUACUUAUGCAAAAGAUAAUUGGAGUUGAUAGAAUGGCAUCUUGAUAGCAUCUAAUGUACUCCUAUCCAACGAAACCUA
rnacentral:lncRNA from 1 species